rnacentral:rRNA from 7 species
UUCUUUGGAGAGUUUGAUCCUGGCUCAGGACGAACGCUGGCGGCGUGCCUAAUACAUGCAAGUCG